AGGCGUUCCUGAAGAGUCAGCUGGGAGGAGCCAGUUUUCUCUGAACUGCUCACCUCAUGGCUUUGAGAGAACUCCACUGUUAACAGCUCCAGCUCCAGAUAAUCCUCUGAAAUGCAGACUCUAUAGCUAGCAGCUGAAUGUCCUCCUCCUCCUGGCUGUCUGACAGGCAUUUCAUACACAACCCGUCCCAAGAUGAACCUGUGUCUGUCUCUGUCCCCCAGCUUGCACUAGACUUGCUCCCCGGCAUUCUUUCUUACCUCAGUGUAACUCUUCUACCCAUGGCUCACCAAGAUCUUGGUGCCAACAGGGAGUCCUCUCUUUUUCCAACACCCCAUAAGCUGCCCAUCAUUGUAUCUCUUAACUCAUCAUCUUGUUUUCAACUCUGGACCCACUUAAGCGCAGAUUUACUAUGCUUCAACUUAAUACACUCUCCAUUAUGAGUUUGCAUGAUCUGUGGUGACAGCUGUCUAACUGGAUUCUACACAGGGCCGUUCAAAACGGUCUCUGUAUAAUGUAAGUGUAAGUAUACCAUGUUUCUGCUCCCAGCACCCAUUGACUCCACCUUUCCCUCCAAUAAAAGACAGAAGCUUUAUAGUGGUCCACAAAGCCCCAGUGGUAGCUUCCUCCUCAUUUGUCCUUGCACCCUGCCCCUUCCCCCCCCCUCACUUCUCUUUCCUGGUCUCUACCAUGCUCCUCCCUCAUUUCAGUCUAGUAUCUGUAUGACUUUGCUGUCAUAACAAACGAUCACAGAUUGCCCCUGACUGUGCAGCUUCAAACAACAUGCAUCUAUUGUCAGGCAGUUCUGGGCUGGAAGUUGAACUUGGCUUAGGUAUUUUCUCUGGUUGUCAGCAAAAUUCAGUCUUAAAUUUAUACAAGUAAGGUUCCUGUUUCCUUCCUGGCUGUUGCAUAGAGGCUGUCCUUACCUCCUAGAGGGUUCUCCUAAGUCUUUAGUGGUGGGUCCCUAUGUUUCCAAGUCAGCAACAAUGGUAUCAUUCUCAUAAUCUCUGGUUUCCUUUUGCGUUGAAUAAUUCUUGCUGCAGUCAGAGAGUCUGUUUGUAAGGUUUCAUGUGAAUAGAUUGAGUCAAUCUGGAUAAUCUGCGAUUAUCUCUUAUCUCGAGGUUUGAAACAAUUUUAUCGCCAAGGUUCUUUUGCCAUGUAAUACAACAAAUCCAUAUGUUCCAAGAAGUGGUGCCGUACUGAGAUUCAGGUGAUGGCACGCAUUACUCAGAACAACAUCAAGCAAAUUACCGUCAUCUGUGGCCCCUUGACUUCUUAGAACUGACGUUGGCUUUGUGUUUCCUGCCCAGGCUUUCCCUGGAGCGAAGAAUGAACGGAGUGAGAACCCGAAGGGUUUGCCUCUGUCUGUGUCUGAACUGGGCUCAGCAGCCGCUUGUGACGAACCAGCUUGUCGUCACUUUCACAGGUCUCGGUCAGUACCUUUUGUGCGUGUAGCUGACACAUCAGACAGCACCUUGCCCCAUGUGCUUUGUGUCUUCAGCAUUGUCUCCUGUCCCUCCCACUAUCUCUGAUAGUAUGGGCUGUCUGUUUUACAGUCACCCGCCUCUCGUGACUCAUUUGCUGUCUUGGAUCUUGGUCGACGCAAGUAUUACUAUCCCUCAGACUGAAACAUGUAGUUAAAAAAAUAAAUUGAGAGUCUGUAUAAGUAUGAAAAAUGUGCUGUAUAUAGAUGGAGCAGUUGUUUUCAUUUGAGUGUGGUUGAUGGACCACCUGAAUCAGAACCAUGGGUCAGGGAGGGAGUUACUUAUGAUAGCAUAGGUUACUAAUUACUGAAUCAGAGUUGGAAAGGGAUGGAG